UACGUAGGGUGCAAGCGUUGUCCGGAAUUAUUGGGCGUAAAGAGCUCGUAAGCGGUCUGUCGCGUCUGCUGUGAAAACCUAGGGCUUAACUCUGGGCGUGCAGUGGGUACGGGCAGGCUAGAGUGCGGUAGGGGAGACUGGAAUUCCUGGUGUAGCGGUGAAAUGCGCAGAUAUCAGGAGGAACACCGGUGGCGAAGGCGGGUCUCUGGGCCGUAACUGACGCUGAGGAGCGAAAGCAUGGGGAGCGAACGGG
rnacentral:rRNA from 1 species